rnacentral:rRNA from 1 species
GCGGCGGACGGGUGAGUAACACGUGGGUAACCUGCCCAUAAGACUGGGAUAACUCCGGGAAACCGGGGCUAAUACCGGAUAACAUUUUGAACCGCAUGGUUCGAAAUUGAAAGGCGGCUUCGGCUGUCACUUAUGGAUGGACCCGCGUCGCAUUAGCUAGUUGGUGAGGUAACGGCUCACCAAGGCAACGAUGCGUAGCCGACCUGAGAGGGUGAUCGGCCACACUGGGACUGAGACACGGCCCAGACUCCUACGGGAGGCAGCAGUAGGGAAUCUUCCGCAAUGGACGAAAGUCUGACGGAGCAACGCCGCGUGAGUGAUGAAGGCUUUCGGGUCGUAAAACUCUGUUGUUAGGGAA